rnacentral:snoRNA from 1 species
GAAGUUUAAAUGAUGAGAAAUUUUUUACUUAUCAGUUAUCCCUGUCUGAAUGGGUAUAUAAAAUGAUAAUACACAUAUGUCGAUAAUUUUUACUCUGAAAACUUC